rnacentral:lncRNA from 1 species
AGGGCAAAUUAUCCAAUUGGCCCUUGAACUCUUUGCCUAGGUAAAAAUAAGCCCCUCAUCUAUUUUUUGCUGACUUUAAACCCUCGAACUUGUAAAAUUGGGUACCUGUGACCCUUUUAGCCAGUUUCUCCGGUUUUGCAACCGGGAGGCCAAUUCACACGAAUAUCAGUGUGCUUCUUCAAAGGGCAUUUUUGUCCGCAUUUCCUAAGCAAAAAGGGAACAACCCCCUUCUUUCCUCCAUUUCUGCAAAAUCCCCCCAACUUCUUCAGCUUUCCUU